UACGUAGGGCGCAAGCGUUGUCCGGAAUUAUUGGGCGUAAAGAGCUCGUAGGCGGUGUGUCACGUCGGCCGUGAAAACCUGCAGCUUAACUGUGGGCGUGCGGUCGAUACGGGCAUCACUGGAGUUCGGCAGGGGAGACUGGAAUUCCUGGUGUAGCGGUGAAAUGCGUAGAUAUCUGGAGGAACACCGGUGGCGAAGGCGGCAUCCUGGACCGACACUGACGCUGAUGAGCGAAAGCCAGGGGAGCAAACGGG
rnacentral:rRNA from 1 species